UCUACAACAUUAGAGUGCUUGC
rnacentral:siRNA from 1 species